rnacentral:rRNA from 1 species
AUUGAACGCUGGCGGCAUGCCUUACACAUGCAAGUCGAACGGUAACGCGGGGCAACCUGGCGACGAGUGGCGAACGGGUGAGUAAAGCAUCGGACCGUGCCCAGUAGUGGGGGAUAGCCCGGCGAACGCCGGAUUAAUACCGCAUACGACCUAUGGGUUGAAGGGGGGGACCGCAAGACCUCUCGCUCUUGGCGCGGCCGAUGUCAGAUUAGGUAGUUGGUGGGGUAAAGGCCUACUAAGCCUGCGAUAAGUAGCUGGUCUGAGAGGACGACCAGCCACACUAGGACUGAGACACGGCCCAGACUCCUACGGGAGGCAGCAGUGGGGAAUUUUGGACAAUGGGCGCGAGCCUGAUCCAGCCAUGCCGCGUGCGGGAAGAAGGCCUUCGGGUUGUAAACCGCUUUUGUCAGGGAAGAAAAGCCUUGGGUUAAUACCCUGGGGUGAUGACGGUACCUGAAGAAUAAGCACCGGCUAACUACGUGCCAGCCGCCGCUGUAA